rnacentral:rRNA from 1 species
AAGCGGAGGAAAAGAAACCAACAGGGAUUGCCCUAGUAAUGGCGAAUGAACAGGCAAAAGCUCAGAUUUGAAACCCUCGGGAUUGUAAUCUGGAGACCUGGAUUUGGCACGCUGACCAAGUCUUCUGGAACGGAGCGCCAUGGAGGGUGACAGCCCCGUAGCAGCAGCCACUGUAAAUCCGGGUCGACGAGUCGAGUUGUUUGGGAAUGCAGCUCUAAGUGGGUGGUAUGCUCCAUCUAAAGCUAAAUAUUGGCGAGAGACCGAUAGCGAACAAGUACUGUGAAGGAAAGAUGAAAAGAACUUUGAAAAGAGAGUGAAAAAGUACGUGAAAUUGUUGAAAUGGAAGGCAAUGAGGUGCGAUUGAACCGGACGUUUGCGGGCAGGACAAAAGCGCAGGCCGCCUCGGCAUUGCCUGCGUGCAUACUGCCUCGCGGACUACCAGUUCUAACAACGCCUUAUUGCACCCGUCUUGAACCACGGACC